CUGAUCUAUGCGCGCAGCUGAUCAGCCAUGCCGCGUGCAGGAUGACGGUCCUAUGGAUUGUAAACUGCUUUUAUACGAGAAGAGACACUCCUUCGUGAAGGAAUUUGACGGUAUCGUAAGAAUAAGGAUCGGCUAACUCCGUGCCAGCAGCCGCGGUAAUAGA
rnacentral:rRNA from 1 species